UGAAUACGAGAUGCUACGGCGUCGAAGCAGUCUAUGUCAUACUUCCAAGAAAAGCUUGCACUGUCAUAAACAAAUAAUGCCUGUACCAUAACCGACACAGGUGGGUAGGUAGAGUAUACUAAGGGGCGCGAGAUAACUCUCUCUAAGGAACUCGGCAAAAUGACUCCGUAACUUCGGGAGAAGGAGUGCCUUAUUUUAUAAGGUUGCAAUAACAAGAUCCAAGCAACUGUUUACCAAAAACACAGGUCUCCGCUAAGUCGUAAGACGAUGUAUGGGGGCUGACGCCUGCCCAGUGCCAGAAGGUUAAAGAAGUUGGUUAGCAUCCGCGAAGCUGAUAACUGAAGCCCUGGUGAACGGCGGCCGUAACGAUAACGGUCCUAAGGUAGCGAAAUUCCUUGUCGGGUAAGUUCCUACCCGCACGAAAGGCGUAAUGAUUUGGAUACUGUCUCAGAGAGGGGCUCGGUGAAAUAGACUUGUCUGUGAAGAUGCGGACUACCUGCACCAGGACAGAAAGACCCUAUGAAGCUUUACUGUAACUUGAAAUUGAAAUUGGACUUUACUUGCGCAGUAUAGGUGGGAGGCGUUGAGAAUAUUCUUGCGGGAAUGUUGGAGCCAUCAGUGAGAUACCACUCUUGUAAUGUUAGAUUUCUAACUUUGUAUCAUUAUCUGGUCAAAGGACAGUUUCAGGCGGGCAGUUUGACUGGGGCGGUCGCCUCCCAAACGGUAACGGAGGCGCACAAAGGUUUCCUCUGAACGGGUAGAAAUCGUAUCUAGAGUGUAAAGGCAUAAGGAAGCUUGACUGUGAGACCUACAAGUCGAGCAGGGACGAAAGUCGGUCUUAGUGAUCUGACGGUGCUGAGUGGAAAGGCCGUCACUCAACGGAUAAAAGUUAUUCUAAGGAUAACAGGUUGAUCUCCCCCAAGAGUUCACAUCGACGGGGAGGUUUGGCACCUCGAUGUCGGCUCAUCGCAUCCUGGGGCGGUAGUACGUCCCAAGGGUUGGGCUGUUCGCCCAUGAAAGCGGUACGCGAGCUGGGUUCAGAACGUCGUGAGACAGUUCGGUCCAUAUCCGGUGUAGGCGUUAGAAUAUUGAGAGGAGCCUUCUUUAGUACGAGAGGACCGAGAAGGACAUACCUCUGGUGUACCAGUUAUCGUGCCAACGGUAAACGCUGGGUAGCUAUGUAUGGAGUGGAUAACCGCUGAAAGCAUCUAAGUGGGAAGCCCACCUCAAGAUAAG
rnacentral:rRNA from 1 species